CCAAUUGAAGUUUUUCUACAAAUUAACACAUUUAUUAUUGGCCACGUUUAUACAUCCAUACUCCAAAUAAAUUUAGCAAUAAUUAACAAUAAAUGCUAACCCACCCAGACCUCUAAACAUUGAAUUCCAAUUCAGCCGCAGAUUGUCCUGAUUCUGAUUCAUUUAAAACACAAUAGGGUUUUAUUUCUGUUCAUACACAAGGAUCCAUCAAGUUAGAGUUGCUUGCUGGGGCCCCCAGGGCAUAUCUCCCAGUGGCAAAAGGGAAGGCGGAUAGGACUCAGGGCGGUAGUGUGCAGAGUUCGAUUUCCCGUAAAGUGGAAUUGACUUUGUUGCAAGCGGGAGUUACCAUAUGAGUUAACAGCCUUGGCCUAUCCAUGUGCUCUCCACCCUGGCUCCUGGGAGGCACAUCCUGCGAUUUACCUCCUCCACGAUGACUUAGGGCAGGGUCAGUGGGGGCCCUUAAAGUUGGAGUUCAACCUUUUUUUUUAUUUUUAGAAUUGCUUGCUGGGUCUCCAACUCCGAGGACCAUAUUGUUUUGAAGAAAUAUCUAUCUACUUCAAGAAUCGCAAUAAAAUCGAGAUAAGUUCACAGAAAAAUAGUACAUCAGUCUCAAUAUAGAAACGAAACUACAAUUAUAAAUUUUAAUAUUACUCAUUGCAUUUUGGCCUCAACCCAUACAACCCAUAGCUACGUACAUCAUGACACUAGAACCCGCAAAUCCCAUUCUCCUGCCGACAUUAAAAAGUUUUAUUGACUUUGAAGAAAAUGUAAAUAAAAUUCUCAUGCCACAUCAAUAUUAGGGACAGUCUUAUCCUACUCACUAUAAUCAAGAUUACAAUUUCGAUCAUCUAAAUACUACCGUAUAACAUAAAUUAUUACAACUAAGGUUAAACAUCCCAGGUUAUUCCAGAUCACAGCUGUUGUCUUGAGUGAUAGUACACGUCGGAUUCCACCGUGGAAAUCAUCACUUGCCUCCGACCCGACCAAACGAAACUACAAUUAUAAAUUUUAAUAUUACUCAUUGCAUUUUGGCCUCAACCCAUACAACCCAUAGCUACGUACAUCAUGACACUAGAACCCGCAAAUCCCAUUCUCCUGCCGACAUUAAAAAGUUUUAUUGACUUUGAAGAGAACCGUAAAUAAAAUUCUCAUGCCACAUCAAUAUUAGGGACAGUCUUAUCCUACUCACUAUAAUCAAGAUUACAAUUUCGAUCAUCUAAAUACUACCGUAUAACAUAAAUUAUUACAACUAAGGUUAAACAUCCCAGGUUAUUCCAGAUCACAGCUGUUGUCUUGAGUGAUAGUACACGUCGGAUUCCACCGUGGAAAUCAUCACUUGCCUCCGACCCGACCCAAAUAAGGGAAAUUCUUUAGCCAGAUCGGAGCCACGAAAUCUAAGCAGUAAACCAGAGCUUCGUUCUUUAGCCCAGUCAGAGUCAAUCAAGAUCGAGCAUGAGGAGCCUUCUGAAAUCACCGGAGAAAUUAUUGCUUUUACUGUCGAGGCUUUUCUUUUUGCAGAACGCCGGUAGAGGAAGUGAGCUUGGGGCAGGCGAUAAAAUGAAACCCGUCCCAGCGUAAAUAUCCAUCUGUUUCGAUACCGUCUUGGAGGUCGGAACCACCAAAUCCUUGGUGACCGUCUUCGCCGCGAUCUCCGAGUUCUCUUCUUUCUUAAUUACCAACGAGUCGUCCAACGACGUCGUUACAUCAGCCAACACUUGGCCGCGUUUCAAAAUUUUUACCUUCUCCAUAAUCAGACUCUUGCUGUCGUCAUCUGACGACGCUUUGGUUGAAUUCCUACUAUUAGCAGGACUCCUUUUCCGGCGACGGACUUUGGCUGGAGUAGAGCUAGGGUUAGGGCUAGAAGGAACCAAAUUUUUGGGAUUUUUCCUGGAUUUCAUAGGUGGUUGGAUUAAAUUAUUUCGAUGUUUACAACUGAAUUGAUUCUUCAAAAUAUCUUGUGGAUGAAGAACUGCGACUUCUCCCAUUGAAUAUCGAGAUGUUCGCGACAAAAUAUAUUACAAAAAUAAAUCAAAGACUAAGAACAAAAAGAAUUGAGAAGGGGAGAAUUGAACAAAUCUGGUGAGAUCUAGAGAAAUAUUAAAUUGAUGAAGAAAUUUAUUGGGUUUAUCGAAGUUAUAAAUAGGCAAUCAAAGUCGGCCAUGGGAAGGUUGAAAGUCGGCAGGAUUGAUAACGUGCGCGAGGGUUUUUCUACGAGUAGGAAUUGGGCUUAGCGUGUUAGUCUCACGGGUAAAUUUCCUUAUCCUAAUGCCUUGGUUGACACGGUACCUAACUUUAUAUUUUAUUGCAUUCGAGUCCCUAGUGAACUUUUAUUUUCCUUUCUCUUAUUUUUUUAGGGUUGCACAUACAAAACGACAUCCCUAUCAUUACUAAAGGAAAAACCCAGAAUUGUACAUGAACUUCUACGCGUUUCGGGAAAGAAAUAUGAAUCAAAGAAAAAAUCAAAAAAGAAUGUUUAAUGUUGUCAAUGACGGGCCACGAUGAUAACUUUGGAAGGCGUUUGAUUCAUUUUAUGAUUGGAUUAUAAAAAGGAGUUUUAGAGAGUCCUAUGAAAUGUUUGAAUAAUAAAUCAUAUUUUGUUCGAUUAAAAUAUUUGAUUAAAAUUUAAGUUAAAAUCAACAAUUAUUUUAAUCACAUUUGCGGAAGCUCUCAACUUUUCUACCACACAGUCCAUUGAUGUUUAUUAAAAUUUAUUAAAAAUAUGAUUUUUAUUAAAAUCAAAAAUGGGCUAAAGAUGUAGUAAUUGUGAAUGUGUGAUUAAAAUUAAUUUUUAACUUUGACUUUAUUUUAUAAAGGGAAACUUGCAGUCAAGAUCGGUACCAAACUUUUUACUUUUAUGCAGAUUUGACUCAAAUAUUUAAUUUGUAGUUCUCACAGUAUCAAACAUUUCGAAAACUAGCAUCUAGUGUUCAAAUUAAUAGGAAUAAUUAGAUUCUUUUGUUAGUAGACCAAAAAUCAAAGAUUUGACCAAAAGUUGACUAAUUUUUAGAGGGCAAAAGAGUAACUUUACAUUUUUUUAAUAUAAAAAUACGAAAAUAAAAGGAUUAAAUCAAAAAUAUAAAAAAAAAAAAGAAAAAAAAGAAAAAUACUAUUCAUCUUUUUCCUCAUCCUUCCACACCUCACUGACCCCAAAACCAAAAGCCAGAAACCAUCUAAACCAUCGGCACCAUCGCUCGAUGACCACUAUUGUUACGCCCCUCAUCAAACCACUUCAGAACGUCGAAGACCACUCCUAUAUGAGGUGCCACAUGUCCCUAGAAAGUAGUUCAGAAGCGAUGUCAACCUCAGUCGAACUUCAACUUGACGCACCGCAAGGCACACACAUCACAAACUAAACCUGCUGAAGCAGCCGAAGCGUCCUCCUGAAAUCGAAGCGUUUGGCACUCCGAGGUGCUCCCUUAACAGAUCCCUCCGCUGCCAAUUUCAGAAGUAUAUCUGUGUCAGGAUCCUCUAUGGAUGUGACACCCCCAUGAGUCUAAUUGAUGUGAUAUCAACUCAACUCAGGAGAAUUAAUAACCCGCCCACUCUAGAUGCGGUUGAUUGACACCUACGAGCAGACGUCUCACACUGUCGGAUGUAUACAUGUGUCCCACAUCCAACGAUGCUUCUCGUCUAUAAAUACUCAAGGUUUGGCAAGAGACAAAGGUAAUCAAACUCUUUCAAAACUUGACACUCCACAUUCAAUAUUAUAUGUUCUUCUCUCCACUCUCUUGCACAAUUUUGAUGAUCGACCACUGACUUGACCGUCGGAGUGUAUGCGGUUGCCACCACUCCCAUUGGUUCCGACCGUGUGCUCCUGACCAUGUGUUGUUGUGCGCAGGGAGGAGCACGUGGAGUAGCUCUCGAUUGGCCACUUGGAGGCCCAAUUCGCGAUGUCAACAGAUUGGCGCAGUCUGUGGGAAACUUCCAACCAAAGAAUUCCCCAUUUACCAUCGGAAAAAGCCACCAGAAAACUAUUGACUUACCUUGAAAAAGGGACAUUCGUGAAAAAGAACCAAGUCAACUUACAGUCUAAAGUUCAUAACACCCUUGAAAAAGGAGUGAGAAAAUGAGUUACAGCAAUGAGGAUGCAAAUCUUGAAGGGCAUAGAGACGCCUCUGAAAAAGAGGUGCUCCGGACCAAUGUCACGCACCGGAGACCCCAUCACCAGCGUUGUCGAGGCAACAGGACAACAACACUCAUGGAAGAGAUGACUCAAAUAACUGCAUGCAUGAAAGACAUUGCAGCCUAAAAUCUGAUGAUGCGUGAAUUCUUCAUGCAAGCCCAAGGUCAGCAGAGCUUCCCAAUGCCACAAGGGUUACAUCCAAUUCAGGGAGAAAUCCCUGCAUCUCAUACUUGAGGUCAUUUAAACCACCAUAGAAAACACCCCCAUUGAGAGAGAAGUGGGGAGUGGAUGUCACAUCUUAUGCCCAGGGCAGUCAAGCGAAAGAACCAUAGUUGGGAAAAAAUUUUCCACGAGAAGACGAGCCACAAAGGUUGGUUAGUGUUUUUGACCGGAUUGGGCAGAACUCUAGCAAUAGGGUUUGCUCCGUACGAUGAUCAGCUUAGCAAGAACAAGGGCAAGAACAAAUACCGCCUCCACCUCCGCCUAGAAAUAGGCGUGAAAAGAGGAACUUGGUAGAUUGGGGUAGUCAAGUAGAGGUACCUCCACCUCCCCAAAAUGUGUCAGAGGAGGAAGGCUCUAAGGGGCCAUGUCGCUCUUACGAAAUUGAUGACGAUGAUGACAACCUCCCUUUCUCCAGAGAAAUUUGAAGCUUCCCAAUACCUGCGAACUUCAUGUCCCCUAAAAUCUCUAAGUAUAAAGGAAAGGGGACCCACAAAAAUACCUCAAACCUCACUAAGUACAUAACGCAGAUGAGCCUCAAAGGAGCUGUUGAGGUGUGGUACAGCGUGUUACCACCUCUAAGCAUCAGAAGUUGGCUAGAUUUGAAGAAGGCAUUUUUGAACCAAUACCUCUCGCAAAGGGAAGGAGAGGCCUCAGUGCAAUGCCUAUAAGAUAUGAGGCAAGCCCCUGGCGAGACACUGAAAAGUUAUCUCGCCAGAUUCACUGAUGAAAUUACAUACUGUGAACAAGUCACGGAUAGAGAGGCCCUCUCAGCCUUAAAAGGAGGCCUCAACAUGAACACAUUAUUCUGGAAAGACGUGCGAAGUAAAAAUUCAGGCACUUAUGACGAACUGGUUGAGAUGAUGAGAGUGAAAAUCGUCAAUGAGGAGAUGAUUGACCACCGAAAUCGUGUAGUUCAGGGAAGUCCUCCACCUCGGAGGCAGAUAGGUCAAGGACCAAUGACACACCUCAUCACCUAGCAAUGGACCCAGGCAGGUCACACCGUAGCCCCCACAUUCGGACAGGCAUUGGCUUCAGCAACCCUAAAUGCGGUGCCGGUACUAGCAUAUGAAAAUAACCCUGCCGCAGCAGGGCCAUCCAGAGGGACAAACAAUAAUCGACGCAAGAAGAAAAAAUAGUCGAACAGGCUCCCGAAAGGGGCAAAGUUCUACACAUUCCACCAACUAUAUGGCCAUGACAUCAGCGAAUGAAGGGACGGGCCUCGAUCCUCAAAUCAGAGCAACUCAAGGUCCUCCAGGAGGGAUCAUUAUCAUGGACACCCUGCAGGUCUGCUUCCUCCAACAAAGAGUCGAGGCGACAAAAGGAUAAAUCACCUUGAAGGGGAGAAACAAGUGAUAGAUCUCGAGGAAAAUCUAUGCAAAGGAGCCAAGCCCCAGCCACCGAGGGCAAUACUAUCCGAAAAAUUGAUACAAUCAUUGGAGGACCUCACAUUGGAGGGAAUACCAGGAACGCACAGAUGAACUAUACAAGGGAAGCGAAAGACCCACCAAUGAUUACAUGCAUUGUCAACCAGUCCCAAACUAACAAAGCAGCUCCAAUCACCUUCUCUCAAGAAGAUUCGCAAGGUGUUCAUCACCCUCACUGCGAUGCGUUGGUGGUAAGAGCCGUUGUGGCUCGGAACGGACUAAAGCGCAUGCCGGUCAACAAUGGAAGCUCAGUGAAUAUACUGUUCGGAUCAACCUUUGACAAGAUACAUAUCGAGCAUGGCUUGGUUCCCAUGGCCAACCCAAUAUUUGGACUCACUGGUGAUAGUAUUAUCCCACGAGGAAGAAUUACUUUGCCUGUUGAGAUAGGAUCAACACCCCUAGUUGCUCAUCACUUCAGGGAGUUUUUAGUGGUGGAUCAUGGGUCAGCUUACCAUCGGGUACUGGGCCACCUGUACUAAAGGACCUCUGGGCUGUGACUUCCAUUCACCACUUAUGUAUGAAGUUCCCAACUGAGCAUGGGAUCGCGAAGAUCUGAGGCAACCAAAUGGGCUUGAGAUCAUGGUACCUCAACUCCCUAUGAAAAUCUAAGCCCCGCAUUGUGAAUUUGAUAAUAACCGAUGCAACAAAUGAAAAAAAUGGAUGUAGAGAUGCUUGACGUCCUGAACAAGGGUCUACCCCUGAACGGGGAAAAGACGUUGACAUGAUCGAGGUCCAUGAAGAAGGGCACCCUCUUGAUGAAUUAGAUCCUCAGAUCAUUGAUUCUGAACCAAAUGCAACCCCUAUGAAAGAGCUUGAAACUUUCCCUACCAACUCUCAAGACCCCACUUAGGUCUUGUGACUAGGGAAAGCUUUGCCCCGUAAGAUGAAAGAAGAACUGACGAACUUGUUGAAAAGGAAUUUGGACGUCUUCGCAUGAAAGCACGAAGACAUGGUGGGAAUAGACCCAAGGGUCAGCUGUCACCACUUGAAUAUUAACCCCACUUGCACGCCGCAUCUACAAAAGAGGCGAGCACUCAAUCCAGAAAGAUAUAAGGCGCUGAAAGAAAAAGUUGACAAGCUAAGUCGCAACGAUUUCAUCAGAGAAGCCAUUUAUUCAAAGUGGAUAUCCAACCCAGUGCUUGUAAAGAAAUCCAGCAGGAAGUGGAGGGUGUGCAUUGACGUCACCGACUUGAACAAAGCUUGCCCAAAGGACAGCUUUUCCCUUCCAAAGAUAGACCAAGUCGUGGACUUCAUUGCUGGACAUUAACUCUUGAGAUUCAUGGAUACUUAUUCAGGGUAUAACCAAAUACCCAUGUUCCGACUUGAUAAAGAGGCCACAUUGUUCAUCACAAACCGAGGAAUAUAUUGCUAUAAGGUGAUGUCCUUCGAAUUAAAAAAUGUCGGCACCACAUACUAGAGGUUGGUCAACAUGAUAUUCGCCAAUCUCAUUGGCAAAACUAUGGAAGUCUAUGUUGAUGACAUGCUGGUCAAAAGCCUCCACACAAGAGAUCACGUAAGUCAUCUGGACACCACUUUUCAAAUUUUGAGGAAAUACAAAAUGAAGUUGAACCUACUAAAGUGCACCUUUGGGGUAGCGUUGGGUCAAUUUUUGGGAUACAUUGUGAUUCAAAGAGGGAUUGAGGUAAAUCCUGAGAAACUAAAGGUCUUAUUAGAGAUGAAGUCACCCCAGAAGCAAAAAAGGUGCAAAGCCUUAAUGGAAGGACUGUUGCACUCAGUCGCUUCAUCUCCAAAGCCAUGGAUAAGAGCAUACUCUUUAAGAUUCUGAAGUAGGGGAGGAAGUUCCAAUGGACCGAAGAAUGUGAUACAGCCUUCCAAGCGCUGAAGAAACACUUGGGGGAGGCGCCCCUACUGUCUAAACUUAAUCUGCGCGAGACACUCCUGCUUUAUUUGGCAGUUUUGCACGAAGCAGUCAGUGUCGUGCUCGCCAGGGAAGAAGAGGUACGCUAACUGCCAGUUUACUACAUCAGCAAAACCCUGCUGCCAGCAGAGACUUGCUAUCCACACAUGGAGAAGCUUGCACUCUCCCUUAUUACCAUGUCAAAGAAGCUGAAGCCAUACUUUCAGGCUCAUUCAAUUGAAGUCCUCACCAACUUCCAACAGAAACAAGUGCUACAAAAAAUAGACGCUUCGGGUCGAUCGCUAAAAUGGGCAAUUGAGCUCAGUGAGUUCGACCUGCUAUUUAAACCCCGAAGUGCCAUCAAGGGUCAGGCCUUGCUGAUUUUGUUGCUGAGUCCGCCAAAGUCCCAGAAAUGGAGGCAACAAAGGAUCCAGCAUAGCCUCCAACAUGGAACUAUUUGUGGAUGGAUCGACAGGAAAAAGCGCCGUCAGAGCCGGAGUCAUCCUGGAAAGCUCAGAGGGCCAUAGGCUAAAUUGUGCGAUUAGGUUCGAAUUCAAGGCCUCGAACAAUGCUGCAGAGUAUGAAGCCCUCUUAGCAGGCCUCAGGCUAGCCCAAGAAAUGUAAGUUAAAACAUUACAAGCCACUAGUGACUCACAGCUUGUGGUGAGUCAAGUCAAUGGAAGAUUCGCAGUCAAAGACAGUGGUAUGACUGCUUAUCUAAAACUAGUUCUGAGCCUAGUCCCCCACUUCGAGAGGUUCGAAUUGGUCCAAGUCCCACGCCUCGAAAAUACACAUGCAGACGCCCUAUCCAAACUUGCCAGCAGCAAGGAUUAUGAGCUGCUAAGAAUCGUUCCAAUCGAGCGCCUGCCGAAACCCUCCAUCUCUGGAGAUGAAGAGGUAAUGUGGAUUGAAGGUACCUCACCUUGAAUGCAACCCAUUAUAGCCAAUCUCAAAGGGACAAGGGGGGUGGUAGAGGAAAAUUAAAACAUACAGUGCUUCAAUCUAUAUAUUGCUCCUGCUCCUAGCAUUUGAUUUACAUUUUUGUCGUUCUUGAUUUUAGAUUGCUUGCAUCCCAUUGAUUCCCCACAUAGGAAUCUACAAGAAAUUACAACACAAAACACACUCAGUGAUUGCAAUAAGAGAAUUGGAAACGGAUCGGAAUUCAAUUUCAAUCGCUUAGUGAAAGAGGACAAAUUUCUUUAUUGCUUUAAAGAAAAUUUUAGAGUAGCGGAGUAAGGAUCUUCAUUAUCACUCUCUUAAAUCUUGUCAACUAUCAUUUGCACGACUUCCAAUUUAUUGAUGUUCGGCUUGGUUGUUUUAAUUUCUUUAGUGAACAUGCCAAAAAGCUGAGGCUACACACCGUCUCAAAAAGCUGGGGAAAUGAAUUCACCGGAGAAGACGGUUGCUUAACAUAUAUACUUGUUGCCGGUUUUGGAAGCGAUAAUUAACAAUAAAUGCUAACCCACCCAAACCUCUAAAUGUUAAACUUCAAUUAAGCUGCAAAUUAUCCUGAUUCUGAUCUAUUUAAAACACGGAAUAGGGUUUUACUUUUCUUCACACACAAGGAUCCAUCAAUUUAGAGUUGGUUGCUGGGGAAGAUUCUCAAUAGAAAAAAGUAUAUAGAGAAGAUAGUACAUAAGUCUCAAUAUAGAAAUGAAACUACAAUUAUGGUCCGUUUGAUUACAUGAAUAAAAUUUUGGUGGAAAGAAAACGAAUUAUAGAGAAUUGAAUUGCUUAGAACUUGUUUUACUGGAAAUUGAGCCCUUCUUUGAGCCCCAUUCUUUUGGAAAAAUAUAUUUUUGAACAGUGUUUUGACAUCAUUUCAAUCACACAUUUUUCAAUAAAAUAAUAUUAUACACAAAUUGAAAACAUUUCCUUAUUUUUUAACCACACAGUUCCCAUCAAUACACUUUUCAAAAAUUCAUUCGUCCCAAAAAAUGGGACUCAAACAAGGGCCAAAUGUGUUUAAUUAGUAUAAUUUUUCACCUGAAAAAUAUUGAAAUUUUGGAUCUUUUGGUGUACUUUUGACUUCAUUUUUCAUGAAAAUUAUCAAUUAAAUGGAUAGAUAUUUUAACAAUUGUGGAUAAAAUUUGUUUUCACUGUCAAAAAUAAUAAUAAAAAUAAAAAAUAAAGUUGGAAAACCCAUUUUCUCAACAAAAUCCAAGGAAUUGGAAUUCUUUCAAAACCAAGAAAGUCAAGGCACAUGGGGGAGAAAUAAAAAAUGUUUUCAUAGAAUUUUUUGCCAUCAAACACGAAUUUUUGGGUGGAAAUGGAAAUUUUUUUUCCAUUUUCAUGGGGAAAAAACCCUAUUAGACAGGGCCUUAUAAUUUUCAAUUGUAUUACAAGUACUGUACUUUUUACAUUAUUCUUUUAUAGUACUCUCACAUCAAACAAGUGGACUCCACUAUUAAAAUAAUCGUGGAGCAACAUGAGUGCACUCAGCUUAAUUCUAUAAUUUUUUCAUAUUGCUGAUUGCAUUUUGGCUACUCAUGGCACUACAAUAGACACACAUAACCUAAACUAAUUUUAUAUAUUUAUCAUCUAAAUACUACCAUAUAAAAUAAAUUUGAAAUUGUUAGAACAAAGGCUGACCCCAAACAAUAACUUCAACCACUACACGAACAUCCCAGGCAAUACAACAUCACAACUGUUGUCAUUGAGUAAUAGUACCAGUCGGAUUCCACCCUAGCAAUAAUCACUUGCAUCCUACCCGACCCGCCGAUUCAAUCCAAAUAAGGGAAAUUCUUUAGCCAGAUCGGAGCCACGAAAUCUAAGCAAUAAAACAAAGGUUCGUACUUUAGCUGAAUCAGAGUCAAUCAAGAUCGAGCCUGAGGAGCCUUCUAAAAUCAAUGAUGAAAUUAUUGCUUUUACUGUGGAGGCUUUUCUUUUUGCAGAACGCCGGUGGAGAAGUGAGCUUGCGGGAGGCGAUAAAAACAAACUCCUCCCAGCAUAAAUAUCCAUCUCGGAGGUUGGAACCACCAAAUCCUUGGUGACGGUCUUUGCCGCAAUUUCCGAGUUCUCUUCCUUCUUAAUUACCAGUGACGACUCGUUGCAUUAGUCAACGCUUCGCCACGUUUUUAAAUUUUGAUCUGGUUGUUUUAAUCUCUUCAGUUAAGACGCUGAAAAGCUGAGGCUACACACCGUCUCAGAAGUCCGGGAUUUGGAUUCACUAGAGAAGAUGGUUUCUUAACAUAGAUACUUGCCGGCGAUUUUGGUGGCGUUGAUGCUUGGUGGGUGCUAACAGUUUUGCUGGUUUUUGGUUAUGGGGGAUGUGGGUGUUGUGG
rnacentral:lncRNA from 1 species